CCUGUGAGGGCAGAGGAGGAGAGAGGACAGGCCACUGAUGGCCUUGGCCAUGAACUGCUAUGGGGUAAAGCUACCUCUGACUGCCCAGCCCUUCUGCCACAGGAGGAGAGUGGCAGCCACCCUACUGUCGUGCUCUCAGGGACUAAUAGCAGGUCACCAUGGAAGGGACCCUAAGAACAGAGCGAUGCCAGCUCUCACCCUCAGCAUCUGCUCAAGCCAGGCACUGUGAUGGGCAACUUCCAUGUGCUGCUUCAGUGCGGCCUGCCAUCCAUGUACUGACUGCCCUGAGUCCGGAGUCAGUUCAGGAGUGGAGAGUGAGUGCAGAGAAGCUUUCACAGCCAUCUGACCUGGCCACAGCCUGUCUCCAAGUGUGUCCCCGGUGCAACCAAAGCAUCCCUCCGUGACAGAACGAUUUUUUAAAAGCCGUUCUUUCACCACAGCAGGUCCUUCUGACCCCUGGCCUGAGACACCCAUGGACCUCCAGACUCAAGGCUGUGCUUAACCCUGCAGCUUCCACUUCCCUGCUCCUAUGAAAUGCCUGCAAGUGCAAGACACAAGGAGCCUGCACCUGCGUCCUUGACACUCCUCGCCAGGAGUGCCCUCUUCAAGGCCUCCAGUGACCACCUGUGUGGAUUCAGUUGCCUUUCCCUAAUCCUCCUCCUCUUGGAGCCAUUUAGGCUCAACCUGUGAGACUGGUCGUCUCCCUCUUCCUCACACUUCUGUUUCAUUUCAUGGUAACUAUCACAGGAUUCUUUCAAUGUUUAGUUUUUUAAAACUAUUUCACUUUAUUUUACUAACAAUUUUACAGAUUACAUGUUCAAUGUUUUCCUACAUUUGCAAAUUUAAUGACUGGUAACAUGUUUAUACAUUUUGCACUUAAAAUGUAUCAAGUAUUUGGUUUUACUGUUUUCCAUUUUUUACUGAAGGAAUGUGGAAUACUUUUAAAUUAAAAAAACACUGAUGUUGGCCA